rnacentral:tRNA from 1 species
CGACAGAUGGCGCAAUAGGUUGGCGCACUCGGCUGAUAACCGAGAGGUUCUGAGUUCAAGUCUCAGUCUGUCGACCA